UAGGACUUGGUGUAGUGUGGUGGCACGAAGAUUUUUGGGUUCUUAGGGUUAGGUUCAAUUCCUAUAGUCCUAG
rnacentral:tRNA from 1 species